UACGAAGGGGGCUAGCGUUGCUCGGAAUCACUGGGCGUAAAGGGUGCGUAGGCGGGUCUUUAAGUCAGGGGGGAAAUCCUGGAGCUCAACUCCAGAACUGCCUUUGAUACUGAAGAUCUUGAGUUCGGGAGAGGUGAGUGGAACUGCGAGUGUAGAGGUGAAAUUCGUAGAUAUUCGCAAGAACACCAGUGGCGAAGGCGGCUCACUGGCCCGGUACUGACGCUGAGGUGCGAAAGCCAGGGGAGCAAACGGG
rnacentral:rRNA from 1 species